rnacentral:rRNA from 1 species
GAGUUUGAUCCUGGCUCAGAACGAACGCUGGCGGCGUGGCUAAGACAUGCAAGUCGAACGCACCAUGGAAUUGGGUAACCGAGACCAUGGUGAGUGGCGAAAGGGUGAGGAAUAAAUAGGUAACAUACCCCGUACUCCGGGAUAGCGUCGUUGCCGCAAGGCAACUACCGAAAGGGGCGGUAAUACCGGAUGAUAUCGGAUUUCACAAGGAGUCCGAUCAAAGAUUCAUCGGUGCGGGAAUGGCCUAUUUCCUAUCAGCUAGUUGGUGAGGUAACGGCCCACCAAGGCGAUGACGGGUAGCGGGACUGAGAGGUUGACCCGCCACAUCGGGACUGAGACACUGCCCGGACCUCCACGGAGGGCUGCAGUAACGAAUAUUGCGCAAUGGGCGAAAGCCUGACGCAGCGACGCCGCGUGUAGGACGAAGCCCCUCGGGGUGUAAACUACCGUCAGGGGUUAGAAAGUCCGAGCAAUCGGAUUGAUCAGCCCCAGAGGAAGUCACGGCUAACUUCGUGCCAGCAGCCGCGGUAAUACGAAGGUGGCUAGCGUUGUUCGGUGUCACUGGGCUUAAAGCGCUCGUAGGUGGGACCGUAAGUGUCUUGUGAAAUCCCCCGGCUCAACCGGGGAAUGGCUGGGCAUACUGCGGUCCUUGAGGCAAACAGGGGUGCAUGGAACUCUUGGUGGAGCGGUGGAAUGCGUAGAUAUCAAGAGGAACGCCGAUGGUGAAGACAAUGCACUGGGUUUGUCUGACGCUGAGGAGCGAAAGCGUGGGGAGCAAACAGGAUUAGAUACCCUGGUAGUCCACGCCCUAAACGAUGCUUACUAGGUUGUAGGGGAUCUGACGCCCUUACAGUCGGAGCAAAAGUGUUAAGUAAACCGCCUGGGGAGUACGGUCGCAAGGCUAAAACUCAAAGGAAUUGACGGGGGCUCACACAAGCGGUGGAGCAUGUGGAUUAAUUCGAAGCAACGCGCAGAACCUUACCUGGGUUUGACAUGUAAGGAUGGCUUCCUGGAAACAGGGUAGUCUGCCCGCAAGGGUGGAACUUAUACAGGUGCUGCAUGGCUGUCGUCAGCUCGUGUCGUGAGAUGUCGGGUUAAGUCCUUUAACGAGCGAAACCCCUACCGUUAGUUGCCAUCGGGUCAUGCCGGGGACUCUAGCGGGACUGCCGGUGUUAAGCCGGAGGAAGGUGGGGAUGACGUCAAGUCCUCAUGGCCUUUAUGCCCAGGGCCUCACACGUGCUACAAUGGCGUCUACAGAGCGAUGCGAUACCGCGAGGUGGAGCAAAUCGCAAAAAAGACGCCCCAGUUCAGAUUGUAGGCUGACAACUCGCCUACAUGAAGUCGGAAUCGCUAGUAAUCGCGUAUCAGCCACGGCGCGGUGAAUGUGUUCCUGAGCCUUGUACACACCGCCCGUCAAGUGAUGGGAGUCGGAAGUACCCGAAGUUGGGUUGCUAACCCGCAAGGGAGGCGCCUGCCUACGGUAAGUUCGAUGACUGGCACUAAGUCGUAACAAGGUAGCCGUAGGGGAACCUGCGGCUGGAUCACCUCCUUUCUA